rnacentral:rRNA from 1 species
GGCAGCAGUGGGGAAUAUUGCACAAUGGGCGAAAGCCUGAUGCAGCGACCCCCCGUGAGGGAUGAAGGCCUUCGGGUUGUAAACCUCUUUCAGCAGGGAAGAAGUGGUUGGGUUUUCUCGGUCGUGACGGUACCUGCAGAAGAAGCACCGGCUAACUACGUGCCAGCAGCCGCGGUAAUACGUAGGGUGCAAGCGUUGUCCGGAAUUAUUGGGCGUAAAGAGCUUGUAGGCGGUUUGUCGCGUCUGCUGUGAAAUUUCGGGGCUCAACCCCGAACUUGCAGUGGGUACGGGCAGACUAGAGUGUGGUAGGGGAGACUGGAAUUCCUGGUGUAGCGGUGAAAUGCGCAGAUAUCAGGAGGAACACCGAUGGCGAAGGCAGGUCUCUGGGCCACUACUGACGCUGAGAAGCGAAAGCAUGGGGAGCGAACAGGAUUAGAUACCCUGGUAGUCCAUGCCGUAAACGUUGGGAACUAGGUGUGGGUCUCAUUCCACGAGGUCCGUGCCGCAGCUAACGCAUUAAGUUCCCCGCCUGGGGAGUACGGCCGCAAGGCUAAAACUCAAAGGAAUUGACGGGGGCCCGCACAAGCGGCGGAGCAUGCGGAUUAAUUCGAUGCAACGCGAAGAACCUUACCAAGGCUUGACAUGUGCCGGAAAAGUGCAGAGAUGUGCUCCCCGCAAGGUCGGUACACAGGUGGUGCAUGGUUGUCGUCAGCUCGUGUCGUGAGAUGUUGGGUUAAGUCCCGCAACGAGCGCAACCCUCGUUCUAUGUUGCCAGCACGUGAUGGUGGGGACUCAUAGGAGACUGCCGGGGUCAACUCGGAGGAAGGUGGGGAUGACGUCAAAUCAUCAUGCCCCUUAUGUCUUGGGCUUCACCCGUGCUACAAUGGCCACUACAAAAGGCCGCGAUACCGCAAGGUGGAGCAAAUCCCUAAAAACUGGUCUCA